ACUAAAGACCGCUUUCUAAUCCAUUGAUCUUCGGAUUAAUAUUCUUGACAUCUGGCCUCAAAUCAGGUAGGACUACCCGCUGAACUUAAGCAUAUCAAUAAGCGGAGGAAAAGAAACUAACAAGGAUUCCCCUAGUAACGGCGAGUGAAGCGGGAAGAGCUCAAAUUUGAAAUCUAGUAGCCUUCGGCUGCUCGAGUUGUAAUCUAGAGAAGUGUUUUCCGUGCCGGCCCAUGUACAAGUCCCUUGGAACAGGGCGUCAUAGAGGGUGAGAAUCCCGUCCUUGACAUGGACCCCCGGUGCUCUGUGAUACACUUUCAACGAGUCGAGUUGUUUGGGAAUGCAGCUCAAAAUGGGUGGUGAAUUCCAUCUAAAGCUAAAUAUUGGCGAGAGACCGAUAGCGAACAAGUACCGUGAGGGAAAGAUGAAAAGCACUUUGGAAAGAGAGUUAAACAGUACGUGAAAUUGUUGAAAGGGAAACGAUUGAAGUCAGUCAUGCUCUUUGGUAUUUAUAUCAUUGAGUGGGGUCAACAUCAGUUUUGAGCGAUGGAUAAAGGCACUAGGAAGGUAGCACUCUCGGGUGAACUUAUAGCCUAGCGUCAUAUACAUUGUUUGGGACUGAGGAACGCA
rnacentral:rRNA from 1 species